GUUUGGCUCUCUGUUCGAAACUUACAUUAGCACCGUUGUCUUUCAGAGAGAAAACCAUCCUCCCUUUUCCAAUUCUCUGGCUUCUCUCUGGCUGUUUCCGCCGUGAAAACACUGUCUGAGUCAGAAAGGGAAUGACCGUGUGGCAUUGCCAUGCAGAACUGCCUUCAGGAACAUCCACGGGGUCUCCCGACCUUCCCUGUCUUUGGAAGCUCGAAGCUGCCCCUGUCCCUGGGUGUUUGUGGGCUGUGUGUGGAAAAUGCCUGCCUUGUGUGCCUUUCCUCUUCCCGCUGACAUUGCCCUGCCCACCGAGCCCUGCCCAGGGAGCCCGUGAACCAGGACGUGAUUUCUGAAACGCCUUCCUAAGCAUCCCCAUUCAUCGGCUCAUUGAUUUUCUUCCUGCAGGCUUUGCAGGUAUUUGCUGCAGGUAAGGAAGGAGUAAGGAAGAACUGGACAUGAUGAAGAGGCUCCCAUCUGAUGGGAAGACAGAAUGAAAAGUACCCCGGCCUCCAGAAGCUGAGGAUCCUAAAGAGAAAAGCAAACAGAGCCUCCACGCCCUGCAAAUGACAGAUGUUUAACUCCUCUGAGGCUUUGUUCUUCACCUUAAUCACAGCUACACGAAGAAAAACACCAGCAAAGGCAUCAUCAGUGAGAUGAACGCAUUGACCCUCUAGAAUAUUUAUAAUUACACAGCCAUGUUUGGAAGCGUGUGCUUCACAUCAGCUCUGGGUGCCAGAACAGCCUGACGGAUCGUGAUGUUCCAGCUGUUCGAAAGAUACCACUUUCCAGCAUCAGCUGUAAGUGUGCCUUCCAAGUCCAACCUAUUUCAG